CGUGAUGCAUGGGCGCAGCCUGAUGCAGCCAUGCCGCGUGUGUGAAGAAGGCCUUCGGGUUGUAAAGCACUUUCAGUCGUGAGGAAGGGGGUGUAGUUAAUAGCUGCAUUAUUUGACGUUAGCGACAGAAGAAGCACCGGCUAACUCCGUGCCAGCAGCCGCGGUAAUACGGAGGGUGCGAGCGUUAAUCGGAAUUACUGGGCGUAAAGCGCAUGCAGGUGGUUUGUUAAGUCAGAUGUGAAAGCCCGGGGCUCAACCUCGGAAUAGCAUUUGAAACUGGCAGACUAGAGUACUGUAGAGGGGGGUAGAAUUUCAGGUGUAGCGGUGAAAUGCGUAGAGAUCUGAAGGAAUACCGGUGGCGAAGGCGGCCCCCUGGACAGAUACUGACACUCAGAUGCGAAAGCGUGGGGAGCAAACAGGAUUAGAUACCCUGGUAGUCCACGCCGUAAACGAUGUCUACUUGGAGGUUGUGGCCUUGAGCCGUGGCUUUCGGAGCUAACGCGUUAAGUAGACCGCCUGGGGAGUACGGUCGCAAGAUUAAAACUCAAAUGAAUUGACGGGGGCCCGCACAAGCGGUGGAGCAUGUGGUUUAAUUCGAUGCAACGCGAAGAACCUUACCUACUCUUGACAUCCAGAGAACUUUCCAGAGAUGGAUUGGUGCCUUCGGGAACUCUGAGACAGGUGCUGCAUGGCUGUCGUCAGCUCGUGUUGUGAAAUGUUGGGUUAAGUCCCGCAACGAGCGCAACCCUUAUCCUUGUUUGCCAGCGAGUAAUGUCGGGAACUCCAGGGAGACUGCCGGUGAUAAACCGGAGGAAGGGUGGGGACGACGUCAAGUCAUCAUGGCCCUUACGAGUAGGGCUACACACGUGCUACAAUGGCGCAUACAGAGGGCGGCCAACUUGCGAAGUGAGCGAAUCCCAAAAAGUGCGUCGUAGUCCGGAUUGAAGUCUGCAACUCGACUCCAUGAAGUCGGAAUCGCUAGUAAUCGUGAUCAGAUGCCACGGUGAAUACGUUCCCGGGCCUUGUACACACCGCCGUCACACCAUGGAGUGGGCUGCAAAAGAGUAGUAGUUACUCGGGGGACGCUUACCACUUUGUGUCAUGACUGGGGUGAUGA
rnacentral:rRNA from 1 species